GACGAACGCUGGCGGCGUGCUUAACACAUGCAAGUCGAACGAUGAAGCCGGAGCUUGCUCUGGUGAAUUAGUGGCGAACGGGUGAGUAACACGUGAGUAACCUGCCCUUGACUCUGGGAUAACUGCUAGAAAUGGUAGCUAAUACCGGAUACGACCCUCGGCGGCAUCGCCAGGGGGUGGAAAGAAUUUCGGUCAAGGAUGGACUCGCGGCCUAUCAGCUAGUUGGUGAGGUAACGGCUCACCAAGGCGACGGCGGGUAGCCGGCGUGAGAGGGUGGCCGGCCACAAUGGGACUGAGACACGGCCCAGACUCCUACGGGAGGCAGCAGGGGGGAAUAUUGCACAAUGGGCGCAAGCCUGAUGCAGCAACGCCGCGUGAGGGAUGACGGACUUCGGGUUGUAAACCACUUUUAGUAGGGAAGAAGCGAAAGUGACGGUACCUGCAGAAAAAGCACCGGCUAACUACGUGCCAGCCGCCGCGGUAA
rnacentral:rRNA from 1 species